AGACAUGACAGUCAUCUGGCUGUGAUAUCUAUUACCUUAUUGAUGCCCAGGAUGGCUUCAGCUGACCCAUCUGGCUAGGCAGGUGUCCCUUUCCUCCCUCACUGCUUCACAUGUGCCCCUCCUGAAGCUGCGCACUUGGUUGAAGAUGACGACCAUCCCCAAUAGAGAAGGACUGCUUUUUGGUCAAAGGCAUACAACUACCUGUGCUCUCUUAUAGAAUCUCCAAAUCAGCUGUCAAGGGGAAGGUCUCAUUGUGCUACACAGUGAGAGGAGAUGUGUGUCACAUAGCCAUCAGCCCUCU
ensembl:misc_RNA 7SK 7SK RNA